GCUUUUAAAGGAGUAGGUCAUCCGUUGGUCUUAGGAACCAAAAACAUUGGUGCAACUCCAAAUAAAAAUA
rnacentral:tRNA from 1 species